UAUUUCUGAUUAAAUCUCUCACUCGAAAAACUGACUGGAUGCACCUUGCGUAAGUUACGUUAAUAAAUGCCCUUCAGAUCGAAAUAAACUAUCUUACCUUGACUUUCAAAGCUUAAAUCCCGUGUUUACUCUCUCUGUCGUGUCGCAUUGAGGUCAGGUAAAUAAUAAUAAAAGACUUCACCUGAACUACACGCCUGCGUGACGUAACGUGAUGACGAUGUGCGAUGAUGCGGACUUGAAAAUAUUUACAUUUAUAAUUUCCUGUAUGAAAGUAGUUUAAUUUAAUUUCAAUGGUUAGCAUACUUGAAAAAAACGGGGAAAAAAAACAUUGUAGCGAUAAGAAAGUUAUAAAGUAUUGUUUUUGUUAACGAGGAAGUAGCAAACAAAUCAUUAUAUAUAUAUAUAUAAACGUUAAUUGUAGAACGUGUUGGAAUACGCACAAAUUCAAAAUAUAAAGAGACUUUUUAAAAUCUGUUUAUUUAAUGUUAUUAACACAUUUCUGAUAAAUAUAUUUUCUUCUAACGUUGAUGGACAAGCGCGAAUCUGCUGAAGAGAGAGAAGUUGCCAUGGUGAUGGUUUACUCUGACAGGACGUAAACAUUAGAUCUCAAGCGCGAGUUGUGUUAUUAAGUAACUGUUUGUACAUGAACAGCGAUCGUGUUUAUUUCUACAUUACUUCGUUUUCUACAUCAGCGAAGGAUAUUAUUUCGGUCUUUCUCAGCUGUGGUGGCGAGGUGAGGCGAAACAGCUCUCCAUAGAUUUGUGUGUCUGGAUCCCGCUCCAGUUCAGCUCGAGAAGACACCGGUGUUGGUGGCAUCCGGGAAAGAUGCCGUUUUCACAGUACAGACGGUGUCUGAUGUGUCCCUCAUCAGAUGGACAAAUAGUGCAAUUACUUAUCUGAUUACAUUUUAUUACUUUUAUAAACGUUUUAUAAUGUUUUCAAAUGUUCUAAUCAUUCAAACCAGGCAGGGUUAACCUUACAGUACUCAACACUGAUUACAGUCAUUUUCAAAAUCCUCCAUCACUUGAAUUAAUAUUAUUAUAAUUUAAUUUUAAAGCACAGCUACCACAAAUACUUUGAGAUUAAAUACAGAUUUAAAACCAUAACAUAUUGUUUUUGAAAUAAAAUCUUUGCAUGGUUAUGACGUGAAACA
ensembl:lncRNA